UACGAAGGGUGCAAGCGUUACUCGGAAUUACUGGGCGUAAAGCGUGCGUAGGUGGUUUGUUAAGACCGAUGUGAAAUCCCCGGGCUUAACCUGGGAACUGCAUUGGUGACUGGCAGGCUUUGAGUGUGGCAGAGGGAGGUAGAAUUCCACGUGUAGCAGUGAAAUGCGUAGAGAUGUGGAGGAAUACCGAUGGCGAAGGCAGCCUCCUGGGCCAACACUGACGCUCAUGCACGAAAGCGUGGGGAGCAAACAGG
rnacentral:rRNA from 1 species